GAUGAACGCUGGCGGCGUGCCUAAUACAUGCAAGUCGAGCGAACGGACGAGAAGCUUGCUUUUCUGAUGUUAGCGGCGGACGGGUGAGUAACACGUGGAUAACCUACCUAUAAGACUGGGAUAACUUCGGGAAACCGGAGCUAAUACCGGAUAAUAUUUUGAACCGCAUGGUUCAAAAGUGAAAGACGGUCUUGCUGUCACUUAUAGAUGGAUCCGCGCUGCAUUAGCUAGUUGGUAAGGUAACGGCUUACCAAGGCAACGAUGCAUAGCCGACCUGAGAGGGUGAUCGGCCACACUGGAACUGGGACACGGUCCACACUCCUACGGGAGGCAGCAGUAGGGAAUCUUCCGCAAUGGGCGAAAGCCUGACGGAGCAACGCCGCGUGAGUGAUGAAGGUCUUCGGAUCGUAAAACUCUGUUAUUAGGGAAGAACAUAUGUGUAAGUAACUGUGCACAUCUUGACGGUACCUAAUCAGAAAGCCACGGCUAACUACGUG
rnacentral:rRNA from 1 species